GUACUGAUGAAGAGUCCCAAAUUAGGACGAAACAGCCGUGCAGUAC
rnacentral:hammerhead_ribozyme from 1 species